UCUCAAGUCUUUCAAAACUCCACCAUAGAUACCACCAGCAAUAAUACGGUCAUGACAUUUCUUUCUUGCAAAUAUAGUAUAAUGCAACUCAUGUGUGCCAAUAUACCUGCAUGUUUUAGGGGAUGGAUCUUGGCUAUAUAUAUCUAUUGUUGGAGUUUUGUUCUACUGAAUAGUUCAUUUCUAGAGCUAUUGCCUGUUGUUAGGCAACGAAUAAUUGAUGGAUUCAGUCCCAAGGCUACUGAUAUGUUUCGAAGAGAAUUUGAUUUCUUUGAUAAAGUGGCAUCUAUAUCCGGUUUGCUCUUUCCAAAGGAAGAACAACGAGCUGGCAUAAGGAGGUAUUUUUCUAUUGUGAUUGUGUUAAUUAAAAUAAUGCUGUGUUUUGUGGUUGUUGAAGAUAGAUUCUAAUCUUCUUUUUUAAAACAGAGUUGGAGAAAAUUGUCUUAGCAACUGGAUGUACUUGACUGAAAACGGAAUCAGAUCUUUCACCCAAAGACCUUAAAAUAUACUUUAUAUAUUGAGAGGGAGACAAACAUUACCAUAAUUUAGAUAAAUUCUAUUUAGUAGGUGAUUUCCUUUUCUUAAUAUAUGGAGCCUAAGUAGUUGAGCAUUGAACUGUACAUUGAUAUUUUAUGUAUCUUAACGCGUAACAUAGGCCCUGGAAACCCCACCAAUUUAGUGCUUUUGCUGUUGCUGCAUUUAGUUGCUGCUGCUGCUGCAAGUUGCCCACUGAAAACCCACCAAUUUAGUAGCUCAGACCAUAUCUUCCACACUUUAGAGCACUGUAACAGAACAUGGUUGCUAGAUUCAGCUUCACUUUUACAAAAAGGGUAGACAUUACUAGAGCACCAUUUUUUUUUUGCAAAUAGUCUGCUGUUUUCACCCUCCAUUACCAAGCGAACCAGCCAAAAAACUGGGUUUUGGGUGGGGCAACAUUAACCCAUAAUAGCUUAGGCACAAGCAAAUUGGAUCCAUGUUGGUCUUCAGCCAACCUUCUGAUAGCAGCCACAGAACUUUGAGUUGAGAACAUGGAAGCAAGAUCAAAGAGUUGAAGAAGAAAUAUGUCACAAGAAGUGUGAUCAAUAUAAGAAGAAAUGCUCCUAAUUUUAAGGUUGUAGAGCAUGGACUUGGCGAGUUGCCUUUUACUGAGAAGCAAGUAGUCACUCCAACAGGUGGAGCUUCGAGAAGCUAUUUUGGAUCAGUUAACAAAUGAGAUGAGUAGUUGAUGCUUUUGAAACGUUAUUAAAAUUUGCUGUACCUAUCAAUCUCUGUUUCUUUGUCUACAUGUUGUGCUUAUUUUGACAGGCAUUACUUGAGAAGAAUCCAUCCAUUGCUCAAGCCACAGAUGGUAACUCUGGCCAACCUCCCAAGCGUUCAGAAGUUUCUAGGAGCUCAAAUGGAGAAGAUGAUCAAGAAUGGCCGCAGAUAUCUGAAAUGCACUCAAGAGGUAUUUAAUGUUAAAAGAUUUGAAGGGGUGUGAUCAGUCGGACUUCAUCUUUUGUUAGAAAUUUCUUAAGGAGAUGCAAAAUAUGGUCAAAAAAUUCAAGAAUUUAGUUUUUC